UACGGAGGGGGCCAGCGUUGUCCGAAGUUACUGGGCGUAAAGCGCGCGUAGGCGGGUUCUUAAGUCCGCUGUGAAAGCCCGGAGCUCAACUCCGGAGGGUCGGUGGAUACUGCCAGUCUUGAAGGUGCUAGGGGGAGAUGGAAUUACCGGUGUAGCGGUGAAAUGCGUAGAUAUCGGUAGGAACACCAGUGGCGAAGGCGGUCUCCUGGGGCAUUCUUGACGCUGAGGCGCGAAAGCUGGGGGAGCAAACGGG
rnacentral:rRNA from 1 species